ensembl:lncRNA LINC01301 long intergenic non-protein coding RNA 1301
GCCCGGCUCCGGUUGUUCCGCCACGUUUGAGCGGGCGAGCCCGGCGGCCGGGAGACGCCAGGGAACGGGGCUGGUGGGGGUACAAAGGCUCGGUUCCGUCGCCUUCAGCCCUGCGGUGGGGGCACGGGGCAAGUGAGGGGACGGCAGAGGCGGCGUUCGGUGUGAGGCUGCGCCCUGGGCUCCUGAAAAUCCAGGGCUGCAGUCAUUUGAAGGCUUGACUGGGGCUGGAGGAUUUUCAUCCAAGAUGGCUCACUCACCCAGCUGUUGGCAGGAGACCUCGGUUCUUUGACUUCUCCGUAAGACUGUCCUGAGUCGAAGCUGUUAAAGAGGCCAAGAAUUCCCAAGCUUUCCCAGGCAAACGGGGAAGAACACUGGGAUGCCUUUUCCUCCUCCUCUGUCCAUCUGCAGGCCAAGUGUGCAUCAGUCACAGGCAAACUCUGAAUUGAGCUUUGUGCAAGUCUCUGGAAAGAGACCCAAGAUCGUGUGAUGAGCAAAAGUGACAGUGCUGGAGGCAGCGACAUCUGCAGAGCCAGCCCCAUCCCUAUCUGCAGCAGAAUAUGUAUGGGGAUCCUUUAUGUGAACAAUCCACCCAGGGUAGAAUGGGGCUUUUGACAUCAGCUGAGACCCAGGCGGCCUUACAAUGAGAGGGCUGUUGGUCAAAGGAAGGACUGUUUAAUGAACUGAGAAUCUGAGGCCAGCUCUGGCCAUCUGCACUUGGAAUCAUUAGAGCAACUCUACUGUAACUGGCAACCUUGAAUAAUGCAGCAAAUUCAUAUUCCAAAAUUGUGAACUUUAAAAUUUUGUGUUUGUGUCUAUGAUGAAAAGCAUUAUAUAAACAUUUGAUACUACAAUUUUAUUAGUAAGGAAGGCUGAAAAAGUAUCUCUCUUUUGACUCUGAGGUCAAUAAUGAUAAUGGCUUUUCCCCUACACUGGGAUAGAAAUGUUCUGUCAAGGAUAUGAAAACACUUUAUGAAAAUGAAAUUCAUUAAAGCCCUUAAUAAUCAGGUAGGGAAGGCAGGUGCUCACAAUUGUCACCUGUUGGUGAGUGAACACCUUAGGCUCGGGGAGGACAAUGACUCAAGAACAAGGUCGAAUUGCAGGUGGGGGGUGAAGCUGAUCCCUAACAGUGUCCUCCAGCCCCUGGCACUGAGGAAGGACAUGGAGGGCUUGCAUCGACUUUUCCUGGCAGGCUUGUGAUUCCCAGCCAGAAUGCAGGUGGCAAUGUUGUGAUUCCUGGCGUAACCUUCAAUGCUUCAAUGAUAAUCUCUGCUGGUGCCAGGCACCAGCUGAGUGUCACUGUGCAGCUCCCAGGCUUAAGUGAUGCAUGCCGAGGUUUUCAGAGCAGUCUCUCAUUUAUUAGUUGUGUUGGAAAGAAAUCUGUACUACCUAACUGGGUACCUCUGGAUUUUAACAGCUGUGGUUUAUAAGAGAUAUGAGAGGGGGUUUGUUUUCAAAGUGCCUUUCACAAAGUAACACCUUAGACUGUAGUUUACAUUCCAUUCCAGUAGGAUAACUUGCAACACUUCUGUGCUCAGAAAUCCAACUGUGCAAGAAAAGUCAGGUUAUAUUUUCAUACAGCCCGUUCUGGCAAAUAUGCCUUCACACCACUUUCCCUCCUCCUCACCGCUAUUGGCAAUAGUCCCAAUGGAAGAGUUUUAUGUCAAAUGCUGAGUAUCUUGGAAGCUGUCCUGCACAGACACGACUGCUUGGCUGCGUGUUGGAGAGUCGCGGUUGGACUGGGAGACCAGGAAGGUCCCUUCUGGUCUGAGAUGUGAUGACUCUAGAACUAAUUAGUUUCAACUCAUAACACGAAAUGAUACUAGCUACCAUUUGGUGGGCUUUUUCUGUGUUCCAGGCUCUGUGCUAAGAUCUUAGCAUUACUCUAAUUACAAAAUCCCUGCCAAUAUUAUCCUCAGUUUACGCAAGAACAAAUGGGUUUAGGGAAAUCAAAAACUUGUCCAAUGACACAGAUUUAAGAUUUAGCAACUGAUGGCCACGUGGAAAUGGAUUACAGAUUAUUCUAAUUGGACACUCUAAACGUGCAAUUUAACCAGAAUGAAAUU